UAUUUGGCAGCAUAGUGGUUAGUAUAUCUGCCUGUCCGUUAACCCUGCACGCAGAUGACCUGGGUGCAAUUCCCUGCCAAAGAG